UCCCUGUGACCUUUUUUUCUUCCUUCCCAUCCAGGUUUAAAACUAUCUCUGAAGUAUCAUCAAAGUAAUAAAGGAAAUGGCUAAAAUUCCACUAAAGUAAGGUAAAUAUUGUUUUUAAACAUUGGAUUAGAGUAAAUCUAAUCCGGCCUGCACAGUUAGGGAUUCAGUGCUCUCCACAGCACUACCUCAAUUCCCAGAAAGAAUGAUUGUAAGCUGAAAUAUAAUAUUCUGCCAGGAAAUCACUAGUUCCGAGUUAUUAGAUUCCAGCCCUGGUUGAGACUGAGGUAAGGAGACAGCACAGGAAGCACUCAGAGUUCUUCGUAAGUGUGGCUCAACAUUUUUAAAAUAGUCUGCUUUCAAAGGUAAUGAAGAUGAUGGACUGCAGCAACUGAACUGCAGGUGCAAAGAGACCCUCCUGCAAACUGUGAUUGUUUCUCCUUUUCCUGUUGAAAGUGCUGCUUUCUGAUACGGGAGAAGCAGAAGACCUAGAAGACAUGAUUGCUUGAACGUUUUUACUUCUUGAAUGUCACGUUUUGAGGCUGAUGCACCCACCUACAAGGCCUCUCAGAGCAGUUCUGUUGCUGGAUGUUGGCUCCCUGCAUCUGGCCAUUAUGAAGCCCAUCUAAACAACUGCACUUGUGAUGAAGACACUUUCAGAGGUAAUAAAUAAUUACCUCUGAAAUAAGGGUGAUAUAAUAUUUAUGUGCACAACAAAAAUGGGUAUCAGAACUUAAAGUGAACCAGAUGGCUUAAGAAAGGACUCUGAACUGGAGGAUUUAAAAAUGCCCUUUGACUGUCAA
rnacentral:lncRNA from 1 species